UACAGUGGCGUACGGGUGAGUAACACGUGGGUAAUCUACCUCUUAGUGAGGAAUAACCCUGGGAAACCGGGGCUAAUACCGCAUAAGCCUGAGAAGGGAAAGCAGAAAUGCGCUGAGAGAGGAGCCCGCGGCCGAUUAGCUAGUUGGUGAGGUAAGAGCCCACCAAGGCAGAGAUCGGUAGCCGGCCUGAGAGGGCACACGGCCACACUGGCACUGAAACACGGGCCAG
rnacentral:rRNA from 1 species